CUCUGGGCUACAUGGUGGCGCAGUUGGUAGCACUGUUGCCUUGCUCAAUAAGAUCCUGGGUCCGAAUCCCAGCCUGGGGU